rnacentral:pre_miRNA from 1 species
AUUACUGAGAGAUGUCAUCACACGCUACCUCAUUCUGUGAUGUCAUCACUCAGUACCGC